CCCGCUGAACUUAAGCAUAUCAAUAAGCGGAGGAAAAGAAACCAACAGGGAUUACCUCAGUAACGGCGAGUGAAGCGGUAAUAGCUCAAAUUUGAAAUCUGGCUCUUUCAGGGUCCGAGUUGUAAUUUGUAGAGGAUGUUUCGGGCACAGUUACGGUUUAAAUUUCUUGGAACAGAAUGUCAUAGAGGGUGAGAGUCCCGUCUUGAACCGAUUACUUCGUCCAUGUGAAACUCCUUCGACGAGUCGAGUUGUUUGGGAAUGCAGCUCAAAAUGGGUGGUAAAUUUCAUCUAAAGCUAAAUAUUGGCCAGAGACCGAUAGCGCACAAGUAGAGUGAUCGAAAGAUGAAAAGCACUUUGAAAAGAGAGUUAAACAGUAUGUGAAAUUGUUGAAAGGGAAGCGCUUGUAAUCAGACUUGAGCUUAACAGUUCCCCCUUCGUUCUCGUUGGGUUAUUCUGUUUUGUCCAGGCCAACAUCAGUUCGAGUGGUUGGUUAAAGACUUUAGGAAUGUAUCUACCCUCCGGGGUCGACUUAUAGCCUAGAGUGUCAUGCAGCCUACUUGGACUGAGGAACGCGCUUCGGCUCGGAUGUUGGCGUAAUGGUUAUAAGCGACCCGUCUUGAAACACGG
rnacentral:rRNA from 1 species